AUACAUGCAAGUCGAGCGAACAGACGAGGAGCUUGCUCCUCUGACGUUAGCGGCGGACGGGUGAGUAACACGUGGGUAACCUACCUAUAAGACUGGAAUAACUCCGGGAAACCGGGGCUAAUGCCGGAUAAUAUGCGGAACCGCAUGGUUCCGCAAUGAAAGACGGUUUUGCUGUCACUUAUAGAUGGACCCGCGCCGUAUUAGCUAGUUGGUAAGGUAACGGCUUACCAAGGCAACGAUACGUAGCCGACCUGAGAGGGUGAUCGGCCACACUGGAACUGAGACACGGUCCAGACUCCUACGGGAGGCAGCAGUAGGGAAUCUUCCGCAAUGGGCGAAAGCCUGACGGAGCAACGCCGCGUGAGUGAUGAAGGUCUUCGGAUCGUAAAACUCUGUUAUUAGGGAAGAACAAGUGCGUAGGUAACUAUGCGCACCUUGACGGUACCUAAUCAGAAAGCCACGGCUAACUACGUGCCAGCAGCCGCGGUAAUACGUAGGUGGCAAGCGUUAUCCGGAAUUAUUGGGCGUAAAGCGCGCGUAGGCGGUUUUUUAAGUCUGAUGUGAAAGCCCACGGCUCAACCGUGGAGGGUCAUUGGAAACUGGAAAACUUGAGUGCAGAAGAGGGAAGUGGAAUUCCAUGUGUAGCGGUGAAAUGCGCAGAGAUAUGGAGGGACACCAGUGGCGAAGGCGACUUUCUGGUCUGCAACUGACGCUGAUGUGCGAAAGCGUGGGGAUCAAACAGGAUUA
rnacentral:rRNA from 1 species